rnacentral:rRNA from 1 species
CCUACGGGAGGCUGCAGUGAGGAAUAUUGGUCAAUGGCCGGAAGCCUGAACCAGCCAUGCCGCGUGAAGGUCAGUGCCCUAUGGGCGUUAAACUUCUUUUGUGCGGGAGCAAUAAUGGUCACGUGUGGCCAGACUAGAGUACCGUACGAAUAAGCGUCGGCUAACUCCGUUCCAGCAGCCGCGGUAAUACGGGGGAUGCGAGCGUUAUCCGGAUUUAUUGGGUUUAAAGGGUGCGUAGGCUGUGAGGUAAGUCAGCGGUGAAAUGCCCCCGCUCAACGGGGUGAAGUGCCAUUGAUACUGCCUUGCUGGAAUGCGGAUGCCGUGGGAGGAAUGUGUGGUGUAGCGGUGAAAUGCAUAGAUAUCACACAGAACACCGAUUGCGAAGGCAUCUCACGAAUCCGCGAUUGACGCUGAUGCACGAAAGCGUGGGUAUCAAACAGGAUUAGAUACCCCAGUAGUC